AGCCCAAAAGGCAUCACAGACUUCAGAGUAAUAAAGUCAGGAAUACGGGCUUUGUGAUCUUGUGGCGGCCAUGUUUGACACAGUGACGAGGAAGACCCUACCCUGGAUUCAUCACCUGGGACUCAGAUCGUAGGUGGGAAGAUGGCCCAGGGGAGACAACCAUCCCAAUUUGUCUGAGGACUUGCAAUCGAUUCCUACCUGGAAGUGGACCCCAUGGUGCACAGAGGACAAAGGGCACAGUUGAGCUCCAGUUCCCUAUGCCACAGCCAGGAAUCAGAGUGGAGAGGACAGUUGCCAGCCAAGACUUUUGGUCUUCCUGCCCAGAGACCCAUGUUGUAGAAUAUUAUUUUAAGGGCUUUCAUCACAGCGAGACACAUCUGUUUCGGGCAGUAGCAAUUUACUUCAUAAAAGGAUGAUGGGCAUCGAAGAAACUCCGUAGGAGUUUGCUUUCAUUGUGACAAGGCUAACCAUUUGGACAAUAAGCUGCUCUUGCCUGGGCUGCUUGACAGUACAUUGUAUAAACUGGACAUGCAGGGCCCACAGGAAAUUGAAUAACUUCAUCAAAACAAGGCAGCAUGGUCCUUCAGGUUCCUGCUUCACAGAAGAAACUGCCAGACAUUCUGCAGAAAAUAGAGGAAAGUGACUGACAAACUGCAAAUAUAGGUGGGACAGUCUUUCAAAUUUCCUGCUUCAUUGAAAAGUCUGCCAGCUACUAUGGGCCUGUAGGCUAAAGAUAGAUGCCCCCAAUGUUGCAAAGAACUUUGGGUAACUGUACAGACACUCAUAUGUCUCUGUCAUUUCUAGAACUUUUCGAAGUUGUUUGCAAUGCACUUUUUGUUUACUUAAAUAAUAUUAUAUCCUUCUACUGCCUUUCAUAGAGUUGGAGGCUGGAUAGUAAUAGUUGCAGUUUUCCUUAGAUAUGAUAGAAAGUAAGUUAGGUAUAAAACUUUGGAUACACUAAGCUAGGUAAUGUAUUUUCUUGGAAUUUGCUGAAUGCAAAUGGACUGAAUAUUGUAAAUUAAUUCUUGAUAACUGUUUUUGUUGUAUAUAGUUUUACUAUGUUAAAGUUAAAACCUUUUUAUUUAGACAAAAUGGGAAAUGUUGGGGAAUAUUAUUUUA